GAUGAAGAACGUAGCGAAAUGCGAUACUUGGUGUGAAUUGCAGAAUCCCGCGAAUCAUCGAGUUUUUGAACGCAAGUUGCGCCCGAAGCCAUUCGGCCGAGGGCACGUCUGCCUGGGCGUCACAUAUCGUUGCCUGAUGCCAGUUUCCUCGUGAUGGGUGACUGUGCAGGGCGAAUGAUGGCUUCCCGUGAGCAUUGUUGCCUCAUGGUUGGUUGAAAAUUGAGUCCUUGGUAGGGAGCGCCGUGAUAGAUGGUGGUUGAGUGACGAACGAGACCCAAUCAUGUGAGACCCCUACCGAAUUUGGCCUUCAUGACCCACAUGCGUCUUUGGAACGCUCAUGACGAGACCUCAGGUCAGGCGGGGCUACCCGCUGAGUUUAAGCAUAUCAAUAAGCGGAGGA
rnacentral:misc_RNA from 1 species